CGGGGUGCAGCAGGCGCGAAAACUUUACAAUGCCGGCAACGGCGAUAAGGGAACCUCGAGUGCCAGGUUACAAAUCUGGCUGUCGUGAUGCCUAAAAAGCAUUGCAUAGCAAGGGCCGGGCAAGACCGGUGCCAGCCGCCGCGGUAACACCGGCGGCUCGAGUGGUAACCGUUAUUAUUGGGUCUAAAGGGUCUGUAGCCGGCCGGGUAAGUCUCUUGGGAAAUCUGGCAGCUUAACUGUCAGGCUUUCAGGAGAUACUGCCUGGCUCGAGGCCGGGAGAGGUGAGAGGUACUUCAGGGGUAGGGGUGAAAUCUUGUAAUCCUUGAAGGACCACCAGUGGCGAAGGCGUCUCACCAGAACGGACCUGACGGCAAGGGACGAAAGCUAGGGGCACGAACCGGAUUAGAUACCCGGGUAGUCCUAGCCGUAAACGAUACUCGCUAGGUGUCGGCCACGGUGCGACCGUGGUCGGUGCCGUAGGGAAGCCGUGAAGCGAGCCACCUGGGAAGUACGGCCGCAAGGCUGAAACUUAAAGGAAUUGGCGGGGGAGCACAAGGGCGAAUUCGCG
rnacentral:rRNA from 1 species